rnacentral:rRNA from 1 species
GACGAACGCUGGCGGCGUGCCUAAUACAUGCAAGUCGAGCGCAGGAAGUCAUCCGAACCCUUCGGGGGGACGUUGACGGAAUGAGCGGCGGACGGGUGAGUAACACGUAAAGAACCUGCCCUCAGGUCUGGGAUAACCACGAGAAGUCGGGGCUAAUACCGGAUGGGUCAUCGGACCGCAUGGUCCGAGGAUGAAAGGCGCUCCGGCGUCGCCUGGGGAUGGCUUUGCGGUGCAUUAGCUAGUUGGUGGGGUAAUGGCCCACCAAGGCGACGAUGCAUAGCCGACCUGAGAGGGUGAUCGGCCACACUGGGACUGAGACACGGCCCAGACUCCUACGGGAGGCAGCAGUAGGGAAUCUUCCACAAUGGACGAAAGUCUGAUGGAGCAACGCCGCGUGAACGAUGAAGGCCCUCGGGUCGUAAAGUUCUGUUGUAAGGGAAGAACAAGUGCCGCAGGCAAUGGCGGCACCUUGACGGUACCUGGCGAGAAAGCCACGGCUAACUACGUG